AUAUCGACGGCGGUGUUUGGCACCUCGAUGUCGGCUCAUCACAUCCUGGGGCUGAAGUAGGUCCCAAGGGUAUGGCUGUUCGCCAUUUAAAGUGGUACGCGAGCUGGGUUUAGAACGUCGUGAGACAGUUCGGUCCCUAUCUGCCGUGGGCGCUGGAGAACUGAGGGGGGCUGCUCCUAGUACGAGAGGACCGGAGUGGACGCAUCACUGGUGUUCGGGUUGUCAUGCCAAUGGCACUGCCCGGUAGCUAAAUGCGGAAGAGAUAAGUGCUGAAAGCAUCUAAGCACGAAACUUGCCCCGAGAUGAGUUCUCCCUGACUCCUUGAGAGUCCUGAAGGAACGUUGAAGACGACGACGUUGAUAGGCCGGAUGUGUAAGCGCAGCGAUGCGUUGAGCUAACCGGUACUAAUGAACCGUGAGGCUUAACCUUACAACGCCGAAGCUGUU
rnacentral:rRNA from 1 species